rnacentral:snRNA from 1 species
GUGCUCACUUCGGUAACAUAUAUACUAGAGUUGGAACAGUACCGAAAAGAUCGGCCUGGGCCUUUGGCGAGGGUGACACACAAAUUCAAGAAAUGUUCCCUUAAAUA